rnacentral:rRNA from 1 species
UACGUAGGUGGCAAGCGUUGUCCGGAAUUAUUGGGCGUAAAGCGCGCGCAGGCGGUCCUUUAAGUCUGAUGUGAAAGCCCACGGCUCAACCGUGGAGGGUCAUUGGAAACUGGGGGACUUGAGUACAGAAGAGAAGAGUGGAAUUCCACGUGUAGCGGUGAAAUGCGUAGAGAUCGGGAAGAACGCCAAGGGCGAAGGCACUCUGCUAGGCCUGAUUUCGCGACUGGACACUCAGGGACGAGAGCCAGGGGAGCGAAUGGG